rnacentral:rRNA from 1 species
GACGAACGCUGGCGGCGUGCUUAACACAUGCAAGUCGAACGAAGUGGCGAACGGGUGAGUAACGCGUAAUCAACCUGCCCUUCAGAGGGGGUCAACAGUUGGAAACGACUGCUAAUACCGCAUACUGAAGGAGGGGUUUGCGUCUGAUUAGCUAGUUGGGGGGGUAACGGCCCACCAAGGCGAUGAUCAGUAGGCGGGCUGAGAGGAUGAACGGCCACAUUGGGACUGAGGCACGGGCCAGACUCCUACGGGGAGGAGCAGGGGGGAAUCAUCCGCAAUGGAGGAAAGUCUGAAGGAGCAACGCCGCGUGAGUGGUGACGGCCUUCGGGUUGUAAAGCUCUGUUAAGCGGGAAGCGGUACCGGAAUAGAAAGCCACGGCUAACUACGUGCCAGCAGCCGCGGUAAUUC